rnacentral:rRNA from 1 species
GAUGAACGCUGGCGGCGUGCCUAAUACAUGCAAGUCGAGCGAACAGAUAAGGAGCUUGCUCCUUUGACGUUAGCGGCGGACGGGUGAGUAACACGUGGGUAACCUACCUAUAAGACUGGGAUAACUUCGGGAAACCGGAGCUAAUACCGGAUAACAUUUGGAACCGCAUGGUUCUAAAGUGAAAGAUGGUUUUGCUAUCACUUAUAGAUGGACCCGCGCCGUAUUAGCUAGUUGGUAAGGUAACGGCUUACCAAGGCGACGAUACGUAGCCGACCUGAGAGGGUGAUCGGCCACACUGGAACUGAGACACGGUCCAGACUCCUACGGGAGGCAGCAGUAGGGAAUCUUCCGCAAUGGGCGAAAGCCUGACGGAGCAACGCCGCGUGAGUGAUGAAGGGUUUCGGCUCGUAAAACUCUGUUGUUAGGGAAGAACAAAUGUGUAAGUAACUGUGCACGUCUUGACGGUACCUAAUCAGAAAGCCACGGCUAACUACGUG